AAGCUGUAAUGGUGCUCCCUUCAGCAGAUUGGAAUGAUACAGAGAAGAUAGCAUGGCCCCUGAGCAAAGAUGACACGCAAAUCCGUGAAGCACUCCAUAUUUUU